rnacentral:tRNA from 1 species
ACUUUCGCGAUACAGUAGGCGGCCCUGAAAAGGCCGGCGUCGGCGGUUCGAUUACGUCCCUGGCCACCA